UUCCCUCUGGGCGUUUCCUGCGAGCUUUCCGGCUGGGUGAGCAGGUUGGCUGCCGCGGAGUUUGCUGGGUCUGGUCUCUUUGCUGCAACCUCAAGGUGCAUAAACUGCUCACAGCCCUGAGCAAUAGCCCGUCUUUAGAUCUGCUGAGAGGCGGAUUAGCAUGGGUCACAGGAGGCUCAGGGCUUGCUUCAAGACAGUCACACAUGGAGAAAUCCUUCCUACCACUUGACACAAUGUCUGGUACAUGACCAUUGAGAUAAUCUGUCCCGUCUAGGUUCAGAUGGUCUAUCUCAAGUGAUAAGAAAUCUCCACUGACUGUCAGAAUGGAUGCUGAGGAAUCCUGUGGGGAGGACUGGGGCAUCGCCUCGGUAUAAUCACGAGGAAAACAGCCGACAAGUCCCAAGGGGCAUCCUACGGAUUGUGAAACCAGUGCUCCUCAAAAUACAUCAAGCAAGUGGACACAGUUCUGGUCAAAAAUAUCUCCAGGAAGAACUUGUCUUCUGGAUUGAAAAAGGAAAUCUUUAUUAGCAGGGAGUCGUUUGCCCACUUAUCCCUUCCCUUUCUUCUGCCUACAGUUAGGACUUGUGGGCUGGAGGAGAAACAUCCAUCUCCUGCCCGUGACAACCGGCAUCCCACUUGCACAUCACAGCGGCAGAGCAGAGCGGCAGAGACACCCUGAUCCCUGGACACUGCCAAAUGGACACAUGCGCCCUGGAUUGCCUGUGCCCAGGCUUAUUAUUAGUGAAUCCUAUAAAUCCUUAGUUUUUAAAAUGCUGCAGUGGUUGCGUGUCUUAGUUACUUUUCUCUCAUUGCUGAGACAAAAUACCUGAUGCCCAAAGCUAGAGAAAGAAAGGUUUUUUUAGCUCACAGUUUGUAGAGAUUUCAGGCCAUAAUCAGCUAGCUCCAAGGCAGAGUGGCUUUGGUGCCCACAAGGCACCGGAAGUGACAAGGGAGAGGAGACCAGACCCUUUCUAUCCCUUACAUCUUAUGCAGGGUAACUGCCCUAGGACAGGUGUGGCACUAACACUUUUAAUCCUAGCCAGAACUACGCCAGACUAAUUAGUGGAGUGACUUACUGAUCCCUUAAUCCCAGCACCACACACACUAGAUUCAGCCACUUCAGAAAAAGUCCUAUGACUGCAUGAGACUUUGGAGGGAAAUCUAGCAGCAAACAAUAGCAUUGGGAUUUUUACUAUUUGCAGCCAAUGCUAUAUUACCAAUUAAACAACAGAUCUUAGGCAAAAUUAGAAUGAAGACAAUUAUAAACCAAAAUUAUAUGCCGGGCAGUCUCAGUAGCAAUGUUAAGAAGGAUAAAAGGAAACAAGUUGUUAACUUUGGGGAAAGAAAACCAAGUUUUAGAACAAAGGCAAUGAACUAUUGAGCAUUGGUAUUGAAUCUUUUUUACUGUGAUGUAUUUACUUUGUCCCGGGGCUUUCAACAAUGAGGUGGGUCUAUUUAGCCCACAUAUCAAACUUGUACAGUGUGAGCAUGAAUCUUUUGUUGAGCGAUAGGAGCAUUCAGGCAGAGAGGCAAGGGAAACUUUUUCAAGAUUACAAGACAAGUGAGGGGCAGAGCCAUGGAUGUUGUUCAGGGAAGCCUCCCAAGGUGCACAGGUGACUCUCUCUACUAUUUUGGUCUACAGGGAGCUCAGAUGUGCAGUGUAAUGCAAGGAGAGGAGAUGGUAUGGAAAUCAGAGAGCAGGUGCCACAGGCCUCAGCUUGGUCUGGAAGCUUCAGGGAGGAGACAGAGCAAAGUAUUUCAAUCUCUCCACAAUAAACUGGGGUUCAGAUGAUCAUGGAGAGCAGAGCAUGUAACUGUGGCUUUCAGCCUAAAACGAUAUGCUAAUUCCUAAUGACCCGGCACUAUGACAUUAGGUAGCAAUCUUCUGAGUGAGGGAUACUGAAAGAUAACAGUUUAGAUUAUUGGAGAAUUUUAUGAAACAUUAAGUGUAUUUGUCAUUAAAAAUUCAACAAACAUCACUUAAACAUAUACUAUGGAAAAGCAUAAUGUUAGGCAAAAUGGGUUUCACAAAUUAAAGCAUAGUAUGACCUGCUCCGUAGGAAGUCUCUGAUUGCUUUCAAUGAUAAACUUAAGAUUUUAUUUUUCUUGGAAAAAAGGUAGCAAGCUCAGGACAGGUAUGGUGGCGCCUGGACUUUCUUAGGGACCCAGAAUCUUUCCAUGUUUUCAUUUAUUGUAGGGUAAACCUGCAUGUGAGGGCAUAAAAGAACUGUUGGUCCUCCAGCAUCACAUCUGCGUCUUGAACAAGAAGAUGAAGGGCAAAGGUCAAAGGGCGGAAGGGCACAGCAGCUGUAUGUACGCCUCUUUCAGGGAGCUUUCCUGGGAUUUUUGAAGUCAGAAGAUCCUCUUACAUAUAAUUGACAAAAAUUGUGUUUCAUGGGCUUGCCGAGAAGGCAAGCUAGAAAAUGUGCUCAUCUGACUCCGCAAACAAAAUCCAGCUCUUGUUCAGAGAGUUGGAGGGAGAAGAAUGGAUGUGAGGUGAGGGCUAGCGCUGGGUGGCAGCCUGGGGUGGCAGCCUGGGGUGGCAGCCUGGGGUGGCAGCCUGGGGUGGCAGCCUGAGGUGCCUGGGAGGCAGCACGUUCACUCUCACCAGUGCACUGUUGUUUGCUGAUUUUAUUUUAGCCUAACUGGACAGAGCUGAUGUAAACUGACUCUGUUAAGCAUUAUGGUAGACUUCACCUUCUCACCAGCAGUGCACAGAGUUCUGUUUUCUCCACAUCCUCGCUAACAUUUGUUGUCUUUCUUGUCUGUACGCUAAUCACCAUCCUAGCUGGGUAAGACGGUAUCUCAUGUUCUCCGUUGCUUUUCCCUAAUAGGUUAAGCAUGUUUUCGAUGGCUAUUUGAACUUCUGUUUAAAGAGAUGUCUAUUUAUAUCCUUGCCAAUUUUAAAAUUGGGUUUUCUGUUUUAAAAAAUGUCUAGAUAUUAGCAUUUUGUUAGAUGGAUAGUUUGCAAAAACAAAUUAUCACUGUAUAGAUCGCCUCUUCAUUGUGUUUAUGGUUCUCUCUGCUGGGCAGAAGCCUCUUAGUUUGGUAUAAUACCACUGGUCUGUUUGUGCUUUUAUUUUCUGGCUUAUGGGGUUUUACUUGAAUAAUUAUUGCUUGAAAUAUUUGUCCCGUUUCUUCCAGUGGUCUUAUGGUUUCAGGUCUUAUGCUUAGUUCCUUGAUCUAUUUUGAGUUGAUUUUUGUAUGAGACAAAAACAGGGAUCAAGCUUUAUUCUUCUAUAUGGAAAUACCUAAUUUUCCCACCAUCAUUUAUUAGAGAGGUUCUUUUCUCCAAACUACGUUUCUAGUUUUUGUCAAGAAUGAGUUGGCGGUACGCCUGUGGGGUUACACUGUCUUUUGUUGCAUGGGAUUCUCUAUUCUGUUCCAUAGGUCUUUCUAUUUUAUUCCAAUGUCAUACUGUUUUGACUAUGAUUGUUCUUAGUAUCACCACUGUGGAUCCAGAAAGAGAUCCAUAGUAUGAUCAAGUUAUCUCGCUUCUGGGCAUGUAUCCACAAAAUGAUAUCAGCCCAUCCAAGAAACUCCUGCACACUCAUGUUCAUUGCUGCAUUAUUAACAAUAGUUGUGAUACGGAAUCAUCCUAGGUGCCCAUAAAUGGACCAGUGGAUACAGAAAGUGUAGUAAUAUACACAGUGGAAUACUAUUCAGACAUAAACAUGUUAUUCGGUAAUUUGUAACAAAAUAGAUGGAACCAGAGGAUAUUCUAUAUGGAGGAGUGAGGUGAAGAAGUCAGACACAGAAAGUUUCCUCUCCUACUAGAAUAUUUUUAUUUUAUUAUUAUUAUUGUACUGGGGAUGGUCAUGACCUUGUGCUUGCCACGCAGGUGCUUGUGCCACUGAGCUGAAUCCCCAGCCCAUUAGGAUAUUUUUAGAAAGCCCAUCAGUAUGUGUCACUAGUGUAUGUGGUGGGGCUGGAUGAGUGUUAGAAUUAACAAAGAGUGCAAAA